AGUGAACGCUGGCGGUAGGCCUAACACAUGCAAGUCGAACGGCAGCACAGUAAGAGCUUGCUCUUACGGGUGGCGAGUGGCGGACGGGUGAGGAAUACAUCGGAAUCUACUUUUUCGUGGGGGAUAACGUAGGGAAACUUACGCUAAUACCGCAUACGACCUACGGGUGAAAGCAGGGGAUCUUCGGACCUUGCGCGAUUGAAUGAGCCGAUGUCGGAUUAGCUAGUUGGCGGGGUAAAGGCCCACCAAGGCGACGAUCCGUAGCUGGUCUGAGAGGAUGAUCAGACACACUGGAACUGAGACACGGUCCAGACUCCUACGGGAGGCAGCAGUGGGGAAUAUUGGACAAUGGGCGCAAGCCUGAUCCAGCCAUACCGCGUGGGUGAAGAAGGACUUCGGGUUGUAAAGACCUUUUGUUGGGAAAGAAAAGCAGCAGGUUAAUACCCCGCUGUUCUGACGGUACCCAAAGAAUAAGCACCGGCUAACUUCGUG
rnacentral:rRNA from 1 species